rnacentral:rRNA from 1 species
GAACGCUGGCGGCGUGCUUAACACAUGCAAGUCGAACGAUGAACCACUUCGGUGGGGAUUAGUGGCGAACGGGUGAGUAACACGUGGGCAAUCUGCCCUUCACUCUGGGACAAGCCCUGGAAACGGGGUCUAAUACCGGAUAUCACUCCCGCAGGCAUCUGCGGGGGUCGAAAGCUCCGGCGGUGAAGGAUGAGCCCGCGGCCUAUCAGCUUGUUGGUGAGGUAACGGCUCACCAAGGCGACGACGGGUAGCCGGCCUGAGAGGGCGACCGGCCACACUGGGACUGAGACACGGCCCAGACUCCUACGGGAGGCAGCAGUGGGGAAUAUUGCACAAUGGGCGAAAGCCUGAUGCAGCGACGCCGCGUGAGGGAUGACGGCCUUCGGGUUGUAAACCUCUUUCAGCAGGGAAGAAGCGAAAGUGACGGUACCUGCAGAAGAAGCGCCGGCUAACUACGUGCCAGCAGCCGCGGUAAUACGUAGGGCGCAAGCGUUGUCCGGAAUUAUUGGGCGUAAAGAGCUCGUAGGCGG